rnacentral:rRNA from 1 species
UACAGAGGUCCCAAGCGUUGUUCGGAUUCACUGGGCGUAAAGGGUGCGUAGGUGGUUGGGAAAGUUUGAUGUGAAAGCUCGGAGCUUAACUCCGAAAUGGCAUUGAAUACUUCUUAACUUGAGGGUCGGAGGGGAGACUGGAAUUCUCGGUGUAGCAGUGAAAUGCGUAGAUAUCGGGAGGAACACCUGUGGCGAAAGCGGCUCACUGGACCAUAACUGACGCUGAUGCACGAAAGCUGGGGGAGCAAACAGG